rnacentral:rRNA from 1 species
ACGAACGCUGGCGGCGUGCUUAACACAUGCAAGUCGAACGGAAAGGCCUCUUUCGGGGGGUACUCGAGUGGCGAACGGGUGAGUAACACGUGAGUAACCUGCCCUUGACUUUGGGAUAACUUCAGGAAACUGGGGCUAAUACCGGAUAGGAGCUCCUGCUGCAUGGUGGGGGUUGGAAAGUUUCGGCGGUUGGGGAUGGACUCGCGGCUUAUCAGCUUGUUGGUGGGGUAGUGGCUUACCAAGGCUUUGACGGGUAGCCGGCCUGGGAGGGUGACCGGCCACAUUGGGACUGAGAUACGGCCCAGACUCCUACGGGAGGCAGCAGUGGGGAAUAUUGCACAAUGGGUGGAAGCCUGAUGCAGCAACGCCGUGUGCGGGAUGACGGCCUUCGGGUUGUAAACCGCUUUCGCUCAUGACGAAGCUUUGUGUGACGGUAGUGGGUAAAGAAGCACCGGCUAACUACGUG